UGCGACAGCUAUUGUCUUCUAUGAUGAC
rnacentral:piRNA from 1 species